UGCAGUGAAUCGAAGAUGUGGAAACGGAGAGAAAGAGAAAGUCUCAUUUCUGUAUGCUAGAAGCUGGAGAAGUUGCUCCUACGGGGAACCUCGUAUCACGUCUGCAUUCUUCUGACUCUCUUCUAGAAGGAAAUUUUGGACUUCCAGCUGUCAUCUGAAUUCCCUGGAAUUACGGUGGAUGAUGCAGUACAGAAGGACAAAAGCGAUUCUGCAGCAGAUUCUUGCAGCGCAGCUGCUGAAAACUAUUCCUGUGAUGUCCUUGCAUGUGCUUCAUGGUGGCCAAGCCUGUUUCUUUCCUCUCCUUUUUUAAUGGGACCAGGACUAUGACGACUUCAAAAAUGCAGCGCUAUUUUUGAGACUUAAGAGUGUCAUUAUUU